AUUUUUCAGAUUAUUGAAUACAGGAAGAGGAUUCACAAAGAGAUGUCACAGUGCCAUUAAUAAUGUUCAAACUAGAAUUAGUGAAACGAAACAGAACUGUUCUAUACAAUAGUACUAACUUAUAGGAUACGAAUAAUUAUUUUGCAUCAGCUCCUUUGUGCCUGCAAUCUUCGCGUAUCUUAAAAAGUAGUGGUUAUUUAUUCUAAUAAAUUAAAAGAGACAGAUCUGUAACCAGACAAUCUGGAAAAAUUGUCUUGUAAAAUAAUCAAAAAGGUUGUAGGUAAUAUAGACAUCAAAGAAUUUUUCUUUUUGUGGGUUUUUGUAAGUUGGUGUACGGCAUACAAUUUUUAUUUGUUUUAUACUCAGAUAUAGAGAAAUGGUGGAUCCAAAGUGCUAAUGGAGAGAACCGAAUUACACAUAGUUCUGAAGUUAAAAAAAAAAAAAAAUUAUAUUAAAUAUAUGAAUUAUUACACUAUUUAAUACUCAUAAUGAUAUUGACACAUUUAUAUUUACACGAUUGUUUUUAUUGUAUUUUAAAAUUGUCUAAGGAAAUACCGUAAAGUAAAUUUAAAAAAAAUAUUCAACAUUGUAGUUGUAUGUCAUCAUGCUAUAAUUGAAUGAAAAUAUAAAUGUGUAUGUGGACACUGAAUUUUUUAGAGUGCAAACAAAAAAUACUAGAUAAUUUAAAAAAAAUAAUUUGAA
rnacentral:lncRNA from 1 species